CCACUGUUCCCUGAACAAGGCAGUUUAACCCACUGUUCCCCUGAACAAGGCAGUUUAACCCACUGUUCCCCUGAACAAGGCAGUCAACCCACUGUUCCCCUGAACAAGGCAGUCAACCCACUGUUCCCCUGAACAAGGCAGUCAACCCACUGUUCCCCUGAACAAGGCAGUCAACCCACUGUUCCCCUGAACAAGGCAGUUAACCCACUGUUCCCCCGAGAACAAGGCAGUUAACCCACGGUUCCCCUGAGAACAAGGCAGUUUAACCCACGGUUCCCCUGAGAACAAGGCAUUUAACCCACUGUUCCCCUGAACAAGGCAGUUUAACCCACUGUUCCCCUGAGAACAAGGCAGUUUAACCCACCGUUCCCCUGAGAACAAGGCAGUUUAACCCACCGUUCCCCUGAGAACAAGGCAGUUUAACCCACUGUUCCCCUGAGAACAAGGCAGUUUAACCCACUGUUCCCCUGAGAACAAGGCAGUUUAACCCACCGUUCCCCUGAGAACAAGGCAGUUAACCCACUGUUCCCCUGAGAACAAGGCAGUUAACCCACCGUUCCCCUGAGAACAAGGCAGUUAACCCACUGUUCCCAUUCUAAGCCGUCAUUGUAAAUAAUAAUUUGUUCUUAACUGACUUGCCUGGUUAAAUAAAUAAAUAAAUGAAAUGUAAUCUUUUAUGACAUACGUAUUAUGAUGCUGGGAGUCAAAUGUCACCACCAUUUGGAUAUUAGAGCGAUGAUGUCAGUCACACCAGAUUGUCUUUGUCUGUCUCUGCAACACGGAGCUUCUCAAAUCAUGUUACCGUUCCUGCCAAAAGGAACUGUCCGUCUGUCCUUCUGUGACACUGUGAGCUUCUCAGUUAGAGAUGUGACACUGUGAGCUUCUCAGAUAGAGAUGUGACACUGUGAGCUUCUCAGAUAGAGAUGUGACACCGUGAGCUUCUCAGAUAGAGAUGUGACACCGUGAGCUUCUCAGAUAGAGAUGUGACACUGUGAGCUUCUCAGAUAGAGAUGUGACACUGUGAGCUUCUCAGAUAGAGAUGUGACACUGUGAGCUUCUCAGAUAGAGAUGUGACACUGUGAGCUUCUCAGAUAGAGAUGUGACACCGUGAGCUUCUCAGAUAGAGAUGUGACACUGUGAGCUUCUCAGAUAGAGAUGUGACACUGUGAGCUUCUCAGAUAGAGAUGUGACACCGUGAGCUUCUCAGAUAGAGAUGUGACACCGUGAGCUUCUCAGAUAGAGAUGUGACACCGUGAGCUUCUCAGAUAGAGAUGUGACACCGUGAGCUUCUCAGAUAGAGAUGUGACACCGUGAGCUUCUCAGAUAGAGAUGUGACACUGAGCUUCUCAGAUAGAGAUGUGACACUGAGCUUCUCAGAUAGAGAUGUGACACUGAGCUUCUCAGAUAGAGAUGCAAUUUUUGGGGGGUUUUAAUUGACAACAACUGUGACCACAUGACACGAUGGACACACGUUAGAAUGUUACCAAAUACUGUUACAUGUUCUGCCAAUCAGGUCUGUUCUCUUUUCAGGCCCUACUCUCGGUUUCAUCCUGACGCCAACAUAUAUCCCUACUGUCCUACACUGUGGAGUGAGUCCUGUCUACUGAGGCGAUGUUAUGUCACUAUUAGAUCAAUUACAUUUGAGUGAUGUGUUUUGUGUUGCUCAUUAGUGUUAUGAGAGAGUGAUGUGUUUUGUGUUGCUCAUUAGUGUUAUGAGAGAGUGAUGUGUUUUGUAUUGCUCAUUAGUGUUAUGAGAGAGUGAUGUGUUUUGUGUUGCUCAUUAGUGUUAUGAGAGAAUGAUGUGUUUUCUAAGCUUUUACCCAAAGAACUUCCACUUCACACCUUUUUACAAUCUGUCGGCUUGUAUUUUUCAUAUUCUCUAAGUGUAUUUUCUAUGUAUUGCUUUUGUAUACAACACAGACUGUACUACUACAGUAUUAGUGUUUUUUUAUGAUUUAUUACGAUUUCAGGAUGAUCAACUAUAAACAUCAGGGAACCAUGUUUAGUUUAGAAUGCUGGUUUAUUAUUGUAUAAAAACAUUUUAGUUUGUAUGAUAAACCUCUGAACUACCA